rnacentral:rRNA from 1 species
UACGGAGGGUGCAAGCGUUAUCCGGAUUCACUGGGUUUAAAGGGUGCGUAGGUGGGUUGGUAAGUCAGUGGUGAAAUCUCCGCGCUUAACAUGGAAACUGCCAUUGAUACUACUGAUCUUGAAUUAUCUGGAGGUAAGCGGAAUAUGUCAUGUAGCGGUGAAAUGCUUAGACAUGACAUAGAACACCAAUUGCGAAGGCAGCUUGCUACAGGUUGAUUGACACUGAGGCACGAAAGCGUGGGGAUCAAACAGG